UCCCUUAUAGCUGUCAGUAAAGAAUCUGCCUGCAAUGCAGGAGACCCGGGUUCAAUUCCUGGGUGGGGAA
rnacentral:tRNA from 1 species